rnacentral:rRNA from 1 species
CCUACGGGCGGCAGCAGUGGGGAAUAUUGGACAAUGGGGGGAACCCUGAUCCAGCCAUGCCGCGUGUGUGAAGAAGGCCCUCGGGUUGUAAAGCACUUUCAGUGAGGAAGAACGCCUGGUGGUUAAUACCCAUCAGGAAAGACAUCACUCACAGAAGAAGCACCGGCUAACUCCGUGCCAGCAGCCGCGGUAAUACGGAGGGUGCGAGCGUUAAUCGGAAUUACUGGGCGUAAAGCGCGCGUAGGUGGCUUGAUAAGCCGGUUGUGAAAGCCCCGGGCUCAACCUGGGAACGGCAUCCGGAACUGUCAAGCUAGAGUGCAGGAGAGGAAGGUAGAAUUCCCGGUGUAGCGGUGAAAUGCGUAGAGCUCGGGAGGAAUACCAGUGGCGAAGGCGGCCUUCUGGACUGACACUGACACUGAGGUGCGAAAGCGUGGGUAGCAAACAGGAUUAGAUACCCCAGUAGUC